AUUGUUCUACAACCUUCUCAUUCAUUCGAUUAUUGCAAACGAAAUAAUCUUGAGAGCGAGAGAGGGACAUCUCCAGCUGCUUUUCAGUUGGACAAGCCUGCUCUUCACCAAGGUCGACAUCUACUGUUAGGCGAUAUCAGGCUUAUUCAUUAAAAACUGGGCAAUCGAAGAGCUGAGUUUUUGCAGGCAAUGGAAGUCUCGCUUUAUAUAUAAAAGAGAUUAAAGCCAAAGCAGCCACCGAUCGAGGCCUCUCCAUUUUCAUUGCUUCAGUCUCUCCAAACUAAAAACUCCCACUCUCAGUUGCAAAGGCGGUACAACAAAUUACAAAGAAAUGACGUUCUGCCAGAGUGGAGGAAAGUUCAGACUUCUUGGACAUGAAGCAAAAUGUUGGUUGCAUAGCACAUAUCUGUUCCAAUCUGGCAACUGUCGUAUCUCAAGAAGAAAUAAGAUCGAUCGACUUUGGUCCAAUCUUGAAUCUUUAAUUACCAGCCGGGUUCAAAUCUUCUUCAUUUGCUUCUCAGAUCAACACGGCUCAAACCCAGACUCCAUUACAGAUUUAUUAGUUGAGUGGAAUUAGGCUAUUUUCAGUAAAAUUAUUUCCAGCAGUUGAUCUUCAAAGAUCAAAAUCAUCCCACCACCUUAAUCAAUUAUCCUCCCCUUCUUUUAUGUCGAUAUGGUCCAGUUGUUGCAGUCAAUUUUUGUAGAGUGCUGCUUUAUCAUCAUAAUACUCUGGUCGAAGAACCUGCGUCAUUAUAAGUACAUAUAAGGGCAAAUGUUGCAGAGGAGUAUUUGUUGGCAUCUUUGAUUGAGGAUCCUAAACCAGGACAUAUAACAGCUAAUCUUGCAAAUGCCUAUUAUAUGAAUGGUGAUCAUAGAAGUUCCAGCAAGUGCUUGGAGAAGGCGACAAAAUUAGAGCUCAUCGGAUGCAGAAUGGUAUCAGGAUUCCACUGAACAACUUUCCUGGCAGGAAGUCGAAUGGCUUCAGUUAUAAGAGACGGAGACUCUAUUUCUGUUCAACUUCACAUACCAUGGCCAGGCUUUGCAAUGGUCCACAAAGCCCAACAUGAGAUUUCAGCAACAUUUGAUGCUGCUCAAAUGAGUUGCCAAACGAGCUGUUUCCCACCGCCAAGGAUGCAAGUUAAUAUGCAAUAGUAAGUUUGGCUAACCACAUUUCACAGAAACACAUAUCGUCUUAUGCCUUUGAAUCCAUUUUGGAAAUGCAAAGGCCAAAUCUAACCAUUUUUAUCUAAAGUUGGUUAGGUUCUUCUAAUUGCAAAAUUGUAAACACACAUCUGGUCAACAUACCAGAUUUUGAAAUCUAUGAAAGAACUCUUUAGCUAUAAUGCUAUAUAAUGCAUCAAUGACUCAAUGUAACCGCUGUCUUAUAAUGCCUCAACAAUAUACCCGCAGCAGGGCGCGGGCAUCAUUGCUAGUCAUUAUGCAAAUUCAAGUUCCCAAAGAUCCUACUAAAUCAUCAUAUCGCUGUAAUUGAUCAGUUGAAACACUGCCAACUGUUUCAUCCUACAACAUAAAGAGGGCUUCUGAGAGAAUCCAUGAAAUGAGUUUCAUUGAAGAGAAUACCGACUGUAGGCUAGGCUAGGCGACAGGAAGGAUAUCUGUAGGCGGGGGAGAACUUGGAAAGGCCUUGGCCAGCUACCUCUUUAACACAGAAAAUGCUCUGGUUAAGAUUGAAUGAUUGAUAUGAGUACAUGGAACAGCAUGCAGUUUCACGUUUGGUGGGUGCUCCGCCUGGUUAUGUUGGUUAUGAAGAAGGUGGACAACUAACAGAAGUGGUUCGUUGAAGACCCUAUUGUAUAGUGCUAUUCGAUGAAAUAGAGAAAGCACAUCAGGAUGUGUUCAAUAUUUUGUUACAAUUGCUGGAUGACGGAAGGAUAACCGACUCGCAAGGAAGGACUGUAAGCUUCACCAAUUGUGUUGUGAUAAUGAUCUCAAAUCUUGGCUCCCACUAUAUACUUGAAACUCUUCGUAGUACUCUAAGACAGCAAGGAUGCAGUUUAUGAGUUGAUGAAACGACAAGUAGUUGAACUGUUGGUUCCACCCAGAGCUUUUGAAUCGAGUUGAUGAGUUUAUUGUGUUCCAGCCUUUGCACUCCAAAGAGAUCUGUAACAUUGUUGACUGUUGAGACACAGGCGAUCAAUCUUCUUCGACUGAACCGGGUAAAAUAUGGGCUGAAGCAAAAGAAAAUCGAGCUUCAUUAUACAAAGGAAGCUGUGGAGCUUCUUGGUAAAUUGGACUUUGAUCUGAAACUUUGGAGCAAGCCCAGUCAUCAAGAGGGUAGUACAGUCACAUACACAAAUGCAUCCCUUAGUAACAGCUCCGUUGCUACAUUGCUUCACUGUUGGUCAUGAACUUAGUAAAUUAAAGUCAUCAUCAUUACCUUUCCGAAAAUCGUAUGCUUCUUGUCAAGCCAAUGACAGUGGUCCAGGUUCAUGAAGAACUGGCUCCCAUUCGUAUUAGGCUUGUUGGCAUUUGCACAAGCAACUAAACCUCUAUGCUUGAAUCUCAGCCGCGAGUGAAACUCAUAGGAGAAAAGCCCACCGUAAAUAGCCGCCUAGUUAUGCAAUGCUUAUUAGGUUCAAUCUUUUGCUUGUGUGACUUGAGUUUUGGGGUCCAGGUUUUCUUUUACAGGACAAGAAGCAAUCAUUUUUGACCAAUGAAGGAUUUGAACAUGCGGGAGGUCAUUGACAAUAUAAUUCAGAAGAUCCAAUGAAUGAGGUGAUGCAUGGCAUGCGAGUGGAAAUAUCUGUUUGUUGUAAGCAAGUUAAGUAGAAACUCUACACUACUAAUCCUAUAUAUCAUUUUCAUUUAGCCAUUUUCUAAUGGCCGGUGGGGCAUUGAUUUUGUAAUGUUGAGAGGCUCAAAUCAUUAGUCAUUGUUAACAAGUUAGGAUAUCUAUGAUCAUAUACCUUUUGUUA